CUUAUCCAGAAAGAUGGAGGGAAACGGCCCUGUGAAAUCUUAGCAACCCCUAAUAGGUAGGUGCUACUUCCGGAUUACUUAAACGUAAAUCAAGAUAAG
rnacentral:ncRNA from 1 species